rnacentral:rRNA from 1 species
UACGGAGGGUGCAAGCGUUCUCCGGAUUUACUGGGUUUAAAGGGUGCGUAGGCGGCCACCGCAAGUCGGUUGUGAAAUCUCCGGGCUUAACCCGGAAAGGUCAAUCGAUACUGCGGGGCUAGAGUGCAGAAGGGGCAACUGGAAUUCUCGGUGUAGCGGUGAAAUGCGUAGAUAUCGAGAGGAACACCUGCGGCGAAGGCGGGUUGCUGGGCUGACACUGACGCUGAAGCGCGAAAGCUAGGGGAGCGAACGGG